rnacentral:snRNA from 1 species
AUCGCUUCUCGGCCUUUUGGCUAAGAUCAAGUGUAGUGUUGCCCAUCACAUUCAAAGAGCUUUAUAAAUCUAGUUUUUUUUUUUAACCAUGGGGUAGAGGUGUGGUAUAGAUGCUAAUGAUUAAUUUUGUUUUAAAAUGUGCAGUUUUACAUGUUUAAGAAGUGAAAUCUUAA